AUACGUAGGGGGCGAGCGUUGUCCGGAAUCACUGGGCGUAAAGGGCGUGUAGGCGGCCUGUUAAGUCAGGCGUGAAAACCCUGGGCUUAACCUGGGGACUGCGCUUGAAACUGGUGGGCUUGAGGGCAGGAGAGGAAAGUGGAAUUCUCGGUGUAGCGGUGAUAUGCGUAGAUACCGGGAGGAACACCAGUGGCGAAGGCGGCUUUCUGGACUGCACCUGACGCUGAGGCGCGAAAGCCAGGGGAGCGAACGGGAUUAGAUACCCCGGUAGUCCUGGCCGUAAACGAUGGGUACUAGGUGUGGGAGGUAUCGACUCCUUCCGUGCCGGAGUUAACACAAUAAGUACCCCGCCUGGGGAGUACGGCCGCAAGGCUGAA
rnacentral:rRNA from 1 species